GAGUUUGAUCGUGGCUCAGAGUGAACGCUGGCGGCAGGCCUAACACAUGCAAGUCGAACGGCAGCACAGCAGUAGCAAUACUGUGGGUGGCGAGUGGCGGACGGGUGAGGAAUGCAUCGGAAUCUGCCUAUUUGUGGGGGAUAACGUAGGGAAACUUACGCUAAUACCGCAUACGUCCUACGGGAGAAAGUGGGGGACCUUCGGGCCUCACGCAGAUAGAUGAGCCGAUGCCGGAUUAGCUAGUUGGCGGGGUAAAGGCCCACCAAGGCGACGAUCCGUAGCUGGUCUGAGAGGAUGAUCGGCCACACUGGAACUGAGACACGGUCCAGACUCCUACGGGAGGCAGCAGUGGGGAAUAUUGGACAAUGGGCGCAAGCCUGAUCCAGCCAUGCCGCGUGUGUGAGGAAGGGCCUUC
rnacentral:rRNA from 1 species